rnacentral:rRNA from 1 species
GACGAACGCUGGCGGCGUGCUUAACACAUGCAAGUCGAACGGAAAGGCCCUGCUUUUGUGGGGUGCUCGAGUGGCGAACGGGUGAGUAACACGUGAGUAACCUGCCCUUGACUUUGUGAUAACUUCAGGAAACUGGGGCUAAUACCGGAUAGGAGCUCCUGCUGCAUGGUGGGGGUUGGAAAGUUUCGGCGGUUGUGGAUGGACUCGCGGCUUAUCAGCUUGUGGGUGGGGUAGUGGCUUACCAAGGCUUUGACGGGUAGCCGGCAUGAGAGGGUGACCGGCCACAAUAGGACUGAGAUACGGCCCAGACUCGUACGGGAGGCAGCAGUGGGGAAUCUUGCCCAAUGGGCGGACGCCUGAUGCAGCAACGCCGCGUGCGGGAUGACGGCCUUCGGGUUGUAAACCGCUUUAGCCUGUGACGAAGCGUGAGUGACGGUAAUGGGUAAAGAAGCACCGGCUAACUACGUG